AAGUCUGGCUGUGGGUUUUGCUGGGUUUUCUUUAAAGCUUAGCCUGCCCAGAAAACUUGCUCUCACUCAGCUGAAGUGUAGAGCAGCAGGAAGUGUUGGAGAUGAAUGAAAGGAGAGAGAAAAGAUGAAAAAUAAGCCUGUAUCUUAAAUUUUAAAAAAAGUUAAAAGAAGCAAAUAUUUUUUCAAAAAUAGAGAGUUUUGUAUUUUAGAAGCAAAUGUUUGAAAGGGAAGAGAGGAAAAAAGCAUUUGUCCUCAUGCCGUAACCCUUUUUGUUAACACUGCAGAUCAGUGGAGGCUGAUCCUGGCUUCUGGUAACCUCAUGGGCAGAGCCUCACACCUGUGAUCACUCAGCAGCAAGCCUGGCUUUCUCCUUCUGAGUCUCCUGUAGUGUGGGCAGGGGGUCUGCUUAUUCUUCCCUCACCCUGAAGACUGCCUGAGGUUUUGGUGGGGCAGUAAUCUUGUCUGUCAGCCUCUUUAUCCAAAUGCAAGGUGCAGAGGGAGCAGCACGUGGUGAGCAAUGCAUAGUCCAGGUGAUGAAGACAGUUAGUUCAACAGACAAUGGCACAAGUGACACUAGUGAUGACUUCAGGUUGCCCUAGCAAUGUCCAGGAGCUCUUUGAGGGUGACUUGCUUCCUGGCACUGACAGCCCACCUCAAAGCUGCAUUCAACUGAGGCACAAUCAGGGCAGCACAUAUUCAGAGCCGCUCGCCGCACAUAGCAACAUGUGUCCAAGCUGCAAGUCUGUCGAUCCCAGAUGAGCCUUAUCAGCCAUCUUCGGCCCCACAGAUAAGACAAUCGUCUUCGCCUGCGAGGGCUUGCUGAUGUUGAUGAUGGUACCCAGGGGUCUGGACUUCUGUUUUGACGCUGUCCCCCAUCCUGUGUGACUCCAGGCCCCUUACUCCCCCUUUCCUUAUCCUCCUUGGUGAAGACACUGGGAGACUGCCACCACGACAGCACUGCCACCACUAAGUACUGGGUACCAAAAUAUCAAAUGGAGGGAGGGCUAUGGGGGCAAAGAGUUUCCUGUACGGGCCAGUAAACCUCCGUGCAUGCUUCCUUUGUGAGUACCAAAUAUUUGCUCAACCGUUAACACCACAAGUCCGAGCUGCAGGGACCGGUUUGGGAUGCCUGGAGACAGCGGUCGUGUGCUGCAGCCAGGUGUGUGCCCACAACCCACGCUGCAUGGCUGCCUGUGUUUGCAGAGAGUGAGGGGAGGCCUCACUUGACUUUCAGACCAACUACAAAGCAGCUCCCGGUACGUAAUGAAGGUUGAGCUCGCCUCACCACUGUUCAUGCCUAGGCAGCUGCCUCGUUCAAUCCCCUUCUGUCUCUCUCUUUCUCCCUUAAUUUAUUCAUCUCGUCUGCAUGUUUAACAGCCACUCGGAGAGAGGAAACAAUAAUCCUCAGUCUACAAUGGGAGCUUGUGACUCUCACUCUCCUAAUGGGCUGCUCUUUGGACCCCUUACAGUUCAGGGGUUGAAAAGAGGAAAAGCCCUGGUGUUGAAAGUGCAAAAAAACCCGCUGCUGCUCAAGCCGGGGCUCACAUGCCUUUCCCCCCCCCGCACACCCUUGACUGG